GGAAGUGGUGCGAGUGGCGGAUGAGGUGGAAUGAGUCAUGGUGAGAUGGAAUGGGUGAGAAUAGGUCAGAGGUCGUUGAACAACCAUUGGCCGUGGUCUGGAUUCACGCGACCGCGGGUGGAGCAUGCUUGGCCACGUCCACAAGUAUGCGACCGCGGUCGAUGUAGGGUUGGCCGCAGUCCAAACUCAUUCGACCGCAGGGGCUUAAAUGCGUCAUGUUCCU
rnacentral:lncRNA from 1 species